AUGAACAGAGCCAAAACCACCCCAGAGAUCAUAGAGCCUAAAUUAUACGGGAGGGAUAGCCAAAAAAGAAUUAUUGUGGAUGAAAUUGUUGAUGGUGAGUGUCGUGAACUUACUGUACUUCCAAUUGUUGGCACGGGGGGUAUUGGGAAGACAACAUUCACACAACACAUAUAUGAACAAAUGAAGAGCCAUUUCCAAGUUCCCAUUUGGGUAUGUGUCUCUUUCGAUUUUAAUGUGAAUAGGUUGGCAAAAGACAUUGUGAACAAGAUCCCCAGAGUUAACAAUGAAAACAACAAUUGUAGCGAUGAAGAACUUAUCAUGCAAAGAAUAAAAGGAAAGAGGGUUUUGCUUGUCUUAGAUGAUGUAUGGACACAUCAUGAGAAUGAGUGGAAAAAACUACUAAAUCUGUUUAAAAAAGAGGGGGCAAAAGGUAACAUGGUUAUAGUCACGACUCGAAUACCCGAGGUAGCAAACAUGGUUAAGACAACUGAAUGCUCGCUGGAAUUGGAGCAUCUAUGUCCUAAAGACAUUAUGUAUUUCUUUGAAGAAUGUGUAUUUGGUGACCAGAAACCAUGGGUUGACCAUCCAGAAUUAUCUGAAGUUGGGAGCAAAAUAGUAAACAAGCUGAAGGGUUCUCCUCUUGCAGCAAAAACUGUUGGUAGAUUACUGAGAAACAAACUUACAUUGAAACACUGGACAAAUGUUCUAGAAAGUAAAGAAUGGGAAUCACAAAGCAAUGAUAAUGAUAUUAUGCCAGCUUUAAAGCUCAGCUAUGAUCAUCUACCUUUCCAUCUGCAACAAUGUUUUUCUUUCUGUGCUUUGUUUCCUGAAGAUUAUGAAUUUGGUAGUGAAGAGUUGGUUCACUUCUGGAUUGGACUAGACAUUUUACACUCAUGUGACCAGAAUCAGAAGAGAAAAAAAAUUGAAGAUAUUGGACUGUGCUAUUUGACUGACUUGGUAAACCAUGGAUUUUUUAGAAUGAAUAAAACGGAAGAUGGCCAUCCUUAUGAUGUCAUCCAUGACUUACUGCAUGAGUUACCGAAAAAGGCUUUCGCCCCGCUUUAUAAAUAA
rnacentral:rRNA from 1 species